rnacentral:lncRNA from 1 species
GCGUCAGUCCGUGUCGGUUUGACUGGUGGAUCCACCUCAGCUCCGACGCACACCGAUGGGAGGGACUUCCGUAUUAAGAUUCACUGUGAUUGGAUGUUUGCACUAAGCUCAUCUCUGUAUGGCUAAUUUUCGUUUUAUUCCCUUUGGCGCGACGAUGGCUAGUUUUCAUAUGCAACCUAAAAAUCCAGCGGGAAACGCUUCAUAACUGAGUCCAAUGCACUAUAAGAGGUAAGCAAAUUGUUUUAUUUUUUGUAUGCAGGGUUGUUCUUUUAAUUAUAAUUCACUUUUAAAUAUUACUUUAGCUGAUGAAGAAAAAUCAUUUUUAAGAAUGAAAAUGUUUUGUGUAAAUGUAGCAUGUUUUGUAUUAACUUAACUAAAUAUUCUUGUUCCUGUUGUGUUAGCCAUUUUUACAUUUUUCUUUGAAAAUUAUCAGCAUUUACAAGUUCGCUUGCAGGGAAGAGUAGUCAUAAAUAAUGAUAAUUAACAUAUUUAUUAAAAACCCAUUUAUCUUUCUUUUUUUGGUCAUUCUUAGUAAGUCAACAUAAUUAUAAAUUCAGGUUUUUAUUUAGCAAGUGUUACUUCCUGUUGAGCUGUGUAUUGUAAAAAGAAAAAAAAAACAACACAAAUAGAUUGCAGAGGCAAUACAGUUAGUAACUGUAUGUGCUGUGUUUUUUAAGUAAGUAAAAUAAACUGGAACUAGAAAUGUUUAUAUCUUGAUUUUUUUUGUGUGUUGAAUUUUUUGGUCAAAUUAAUGGUUUUACAUUUUUCCUUGACUUUUCAAAGAAUGCUUUGAGAAUUAUACAAAGACUUGAUCUGUUGCUAUAUCAGUGACCUUUUUUUACCUAUGACAUUCUGAAGAUACCAGUAUUUCAAUGUAAUAAUAUAAUUAAAUAAAUCUAUAAUUUUUCCUACUAGAAUGCCUCUUGGGAUGAAGUUGCGCACUCAUACAGAGGGAAAACAAACUAAAAAGAAGACUCUGAGGCUGAUUAAAUGGCUGCAAAAGAAACACCUUCUAAAGAAGAAGCUGAGAUGCCCUGUUUGCCACCAUAAGAUGAAAAUGAUAUCUGUGGUGAAGAAAGACCAAUUUAUGUGGUGCUGCAAAAGAGCAAGUCAUAGAAAAGUCUCCAGAACAAUUAGAACUGGCUCCCUCUUUGAGAAAUCAAAAUCUUCUCUUUUCAGUUGGAUGAAGUUCAUCUACAGAUUUUCACAAGGGCUCAGGCUCAGGCAGAUAGAUAUGAUUGAUGAUGAUGUGGCUGGCAGCUCCAAAACAUUAAGUGCCAUGGCAAAGCGUAUUCGACAAGUCUGCAUCAGUGCAAUGGAAAGACACGGAGUAAAUAAAGGGCACUGUCUUGGUGGUCACAAAGAAUUUGUGGUUAUGGAUGAAAGCUGUCUCCGUCAUCAGCGAAAGGUUGUAAACUCUCAGACCCCUUUGUUAUUAUCAGUCCAGAUCUGA